AGCCUAUGAUGAAUUUCUGACACCUCGUAUGAAAACUGUAUGUGCAGUCUGAUUACAUUACAAGGCUGAGGCUU